UCCUGUGUGGCUCAGUUGGUAGAGCAUGGUGUUUGCAACGCCAGGGUUCGAUUCCCACGGGGG
rnacentral:tRNA from 1 species